UACAGAGGAUGCAAGCGUUAAUCGGAAUUACUGGGCGUAAAGGGUGAGUAGGCGGUAAAUUAAGUCAUAUGUGAAAUCUUAGAGCUUAACUCUGGAAGUGCAUUUAAUACUGUUUAACUAGAGUGCUGUAGAGGGCGAUGGAAUUUCCGGUGUAGCGGUGAAAUGCGUAGAUAUCGGAAGGAACACCAGUGGCGAAGGCGGUCUUCUGGACCGAUACUGACACUCAGGCGCGAAAGCGUGGGGAGCAAACAGG
rnacentral:rRNA from 1 species